CACUACACAAAAAAAAAAAGAGAGAGAGUGAGAGAACCGAGAGAGAGCCGAGAGAAAGCAAGAGGAGGAGGAGUUCAUUUUUACCAUUCUUGUCCAUUCACCACCAAAAUCAACCAUUUUUUUGAGGUGGUUUGCACGCACGCUAAAAGUCAGAACGAGAAGCUAUUUACGGAAAUUCUAAGCUUUUGAGGUUGAGCAAGGUCGGGAGGCGGAGGAUGUUGAGCGAUGAUCC